UUUCAUUGUCUGGUUAUCAUUUUCAUCUCUUUUCCUUUUAGGUUGGUAUUCAAGGCCUUUCAAUCACCAGAGUGUUUGGAACAAAGAAGGAUCAAUCUAAACUUUUGGAAAGCUGAGAAUUCACUGCAAGCCUAACUAUUAGCUAGGCAAGUCUCUGUUGAGAAUGGGAGAGAUAAGAUUCAAAGAAAAAUAAUGGAGAUAAUUAGGAAUGGCUGAUUAGUGUCACUAACUGAUGGUCUUCCUGUACUCACUGAGAAAAAUCUGCCACUAUAGAGAGAUGGACAAGCAGAAUAUUUUGUGAUGCAUGGAAAGAAUUCUGUAAGUAAAGGGAAAGUACACAGUAAGGAAGGACCAGUUGGACCUUGAGGGGAUGAGUACAAACCAGCCAUCACGUCGCCAUGUGCUCAGGGUUUCUCUUGGAUCGCUGAGGUCUUGAUUCUGUCCUGUUGCACUCACCCCCUGAGUGUACUGAAGUGUUUCAAGAAACUGGUCUUCAGUCACACCAAACUCUCGUCUGUCCCCCACAUUAGAUCUCCAUCAAUUUGCUUACCGCACAAACGGCUCAAUGGCUCUGCGCUCCACCCUGACGACAAAUAAACCACCACACAUUCCUUGAUUUUACUCCAGUCCUUUAAAACUGCCAUUCCCUCCAGUCUGCUCACAAAGCUCAAUAACCCUGGCAUCAGCACCUCUGUGUAAUUGGAUUUUGGAUUUUCUAAACACCUGACAUUAAUCUGUUACAAUUUUCUCCCUACAUAAGUGAUUGUAUGCCUAUGCACGACUCUAAUGUCAUCAUUAAGCCGAUAGUCAAAGUUGAUUGAGUCCAGAGAUCACACACCGUCUCACAGCUCAGUAGCAGCUCAGUCAGAAGGCCUUGCAACGAGUUGUGAAGUCUGCCCAGUGAAUCCUCAGCACCCGGUUUCCUGUUAUCGAUGCUAUCGGUACGUACAGGGCCUGCAGAGUGCGUGGAGUGUAUCGUCAAGGACACCACUCACCCAAGCAAUGGACCGUUCCCUGCUACCAUCAGCGGCGUGUCCCAGGAGUGAAGGAAGGCCCAUAAUAAAGGCAAAGAAAGAAGACAGAAGUGCAUUGGAGAGAGGGGGAGAAGGUCCUUAAUCAGUCUAACACCACAAGUGGAGCAUGGUUUCAUUUCCGCAGGAAGACGACCUCCUCUUAUUGCCGCCAUGCUAACUGCUGCAGCAGGGAGAGGGAUGCAUAUAUAUAUAAAAUGAGGGCUGGCAAUAUGAGUGCAACUCUCAGCCCGCGUUGACACUAGCCCAAUUAUCCAGGCCUCCCAUUGUCACAGAGACAGGCAUGUUGUAGUGUGUUGGUGCCCGACCAUGCCAGUCUCGCUGUGAGGAACACAACAUCAGAGCCGAACUCAGGAGCUACAGGAUCGCACUGAAGCCUGCUGUGCUUGAUGGUCAAACUAAUCAAUGAAUAUUGACAAUGUCGCUGCGCGUUUCCUACCGAAGAGGAUUGUGGAUCCACACUACGGCCGUGUUCUUCCUUUUACAUGUUUAAUAAGAUCGAUGUUUCUUAAUAGUAGUGGGCUGUCUUAUGUGUGUUCAGAUACGACUGAUCCUGAAGAAAUGUCUUAGGAAUGACGUGCUUGUUUUGUUUACUCAUUGUAACAUGAUGUCUUCCAUUUUUAAGCACGGCUACAGUAUUAUAAGCCGUGAUUUUACGAGUGUGAUGAGUGCCAGUGUUCAUGCUGUUUUAUAUUAGGUUAAUACUGGGUUUGAGAUCUGAAUAAGUAGUAGAAGUAGGUAUUAAAUCUCAAUUGAAAAAGGGUACAGUUCCACUUUGCUGAUGUGUUAAUGUAAUGAACAGUGAAGUUAAUGGCUUAUUAAUGUAUCUGGGUGUAAACAGAUGUAAUUGAACAUGUAUCUAAAGAGUAGUUUUCUUUGUGUGUCAUUUUGUAGAGAGGUUGGUUUUGUUGCAACAACAAUAUAUAUAAAAAAAUAAAUAACAGCAGCCAAAAAAAGAGGAAAAAUAAAGAGUUUUACCUGGAGGAUCUCUGACAAAGAUCUUCAAAACUGGUUCAAAGUUUGUCUGAUCGAUGGUCUUUCUCGGUCUCCUCAGUUAGCGAGUCUCCUUAGCGUGGGAUAAUUUUAUGUAUUUAUUUUAAACUGUAAUUUAUAUAGGAUUAAGCAGAUUAAACUAGCUGGGCUUCUUCUCCAAGAUGUAAUACUGAAUUUAUCUCAAAUGCUAUGUUAUCUGGUUUGA